GCCCCGGUAGUGUAGCCCGGCCAAUCAUGCCGGCCUUUCAAGCCGGCGACUCGGGUUCGAAUCCCGACCGGGGCA
rnacentral:tRNA from 1 species